rnacentral:rRNA from 1 species
UACAGAGGUCUCAAGCGUUGUUCGGAUUCCCUGGGCGUAAAGGGUGCGUAGGCGGCGCGGUAAGUCGGGUGUGAAAUCUCGGAGCUUAACUCCGAAACUGCAUUCGAUACUGCCGUGCUUGAGGACUGGAGAGGAGACUGGAAUUUACGGUGUAGCGGUGAAAUGCGUAGAUAUCGUAAGGAAGACCAGUGGCGAAGGCGGGUCUCUGGACAGUUCCUGACGCUGAGGCACGAAGGUCAGGGGAGCAAACGGG